AUGACUCAGCGUUUGAUUUAUGCAUCGUGCCUGAUUCAGACUGAUGCUAUUGUUGUAUCACUGUAAUUUUUAAUGCUUUUACUCUGCCACACACAAAUUGAGAAAUACCUGAAUUUUAUGCAUAAAUGUGAUGGGGAUAGUCAUCAGCUGCCACUUAUUAAUGGCCUCCAAUGUGCCAUUCAAUAGCCCAGGCAGUUGGUACAUAAAAAAUAGAUAGAGAUCGAGCGGCCGAGGCAAGAUGGGUCAAAGUCAGAGUGGUGGCCAUGGUCCUGGAGGUGGCAAGAAGGAUGACAAGGAUAAGAAAAAGAAAUACGAACCUCCUGUACCAACCAGAGUGGGGAAAAAGAAGAAGAAAACAAAGGGACCAGAUGCAGCCAGUAAACUACCACUGGUGACACCUCGCACUCAGUGCCGAUUAAAAUUGUUGAAGUUAGAGAGAAUUAAAGACUAUCUUCUCAUGGAGGAGGAAUUCAUUAGAAAUCAGGAACAAAUGAAACCAUUGGAAGAAAAGCAAGAGGAGGAAAGAUCAAAAGUGGAUGAUCUGAGGGGGACCCCAAUGUCAGUAGGAACCUUGGAAGAGAUCAUUGAUGACAAUCAUGCCAUUGUGUCUACAUCUGUGGGCUCAGAACACUAUGUCAGCAUCCUUUCAUUUGUUGACAAGGAUCUGCUGGAACCAGGCUGUUCAGUCCUGCUCAACCACAAGGUGCAUGCUGUGAUGGGGUGCUGAUGGAUGACACAGAUCCCCUGGUCACAGUGAUGAAGGUGGAAAAGGCACCCCAAGAGACCUAUGCUGAUAUUGGGGGCUUGGACAACCAAAUCCAGGAAAUUAAGGAAUCUGUGGAGCUUCCUCUCACCCAUCCUGAAUAUUAUGAAGAGAUGGGUAUAAAGCCCCCUAAAGGGGUAAUUCUCUAUGGUCCACCUGGCACAGGUAAAACCUUGUUAGCCAAAGCAGUAGCAAACCAAACCUCGGCCACUUUCUUGAGAGUGGUUGGCUCUGAACUCAUUCAGAAGUACCUAGGUGAUGGGCCCAAACUUGUUCGGGAAUUGUUUCGAGUUGCUGAAGAACAUGCACCUUCCAUCGUGUUUAUUGAUGAAAUUGAUGCCAUUGGGACAAAAAGAUAUGACUCAAAUUCUGGUGGUGAGAGAGAAAUUCAGCGAACAAUGUUGGAACUGUUGAACCAGUUGGAUGGAUUUGAUUCAAGGGGAGAUGUGAAAGUUAUUAUGGCUACAAACCGAAUAGAAACUUUGGAUCCAGCCCUUAUCAGACCAGGCCGUAUUGACAGGAAGAUCGAGUUUCCCCUGCCUGAUGAAAAGACUAAGAAGCGCAUCUUUCAGAUUCACACAAGCAGGAUGACCCUGGCUGAUGAUGUAACUCUGGAUGACUUGAUCAUGGCUAAAGAUGACCUCUCUGGUGCUGACAUUAAGGCAAUUUGUACAGAAGCUGGUUUGAUGGCUUUAAGAGAACGUAGAAUGAAAGUAACAAAUGAUGACUUCAAAAAAUCUAAAGAAAAUGUUCUGUAUAAAAAACAAGAAGGCACCCCUGAGGGGCUUUAUCUCUAGUGAACUACAGCUGCUAUCAGGAAAAUGGGAGUUUAUCUGACCCCAGAGGGAUGAGGUUGGAGAAGCUGCCUAGAGUUGUACGUUUUCCACUUGACUGAUAUUAGCAAACAUCCUUUGUAUCUUUUGGAAUAUGAUGUAUAAGCUGCCCCUUGGGUGGCCUUCAUCUGCUGGUCAGUGUGCAGCACUCUGCUUCCCAAUAAAGCGGGCUCUUGUCACAGCAAAAAAAAAAAAAAAAAUAGAUACAAUUUUUGUCAGUUAAACAUAAAUAAAAAUUAAAAUAACAAUAAUGGUCCUCUCACAGGAGUAAUGUGAAAUCCCCCUGUUGUAUUAUUUGCCUUUCUCUGAUAAUCAGUGAUGUUGGUAAAAUGUGCAAAAUUUCAGUUAGAUAGGUAAAUUCAAAGACCUACUUAUAGGACAUAUACCCAGUAGAGUACAUAACCCUUCUUCUUGAGAAACUUCCAUAGAGUUUUCAAUAGUGGCUAUACUAAUUUACAUUCUCAUCAACAGUGUGCAAGUAUUGCCUUUUCUUCACAUCCACUUCAACAGAUAUCAUUGUUCCUCUUUUUAUAAUGGAGAACGGCCAUUAUUGAACAGUCUAAAAACAGUAGAGCCUGGCAUGUAUGCAGUGAAUAAGGAAAGCUUACACGGUGUUGAUGGGACUGUAAAUUAGUACAACAUCUAUGGGAAACAGUAAGGAGAUUCCCAAAACAACUAAAAGUAAACUUAGUAUUCUAUCCAGCAAUUCCACUACUGGGUAUUUAACCAAAGGUUAAAAAAAAUGAUUAUUUCAAAAAACAUGCACACCUGAAUUUUUAUUACACCACAAUUCACAAUUGCAAAUAUAUGGAACCAACCUAAGUACCUAUCAAUUGAUGAAUGGAUAAGUACUAUUCAACCAUAAAAAAAGAAAGAAAGAAUGUCAUUGCAGAAACUUGUAUGGAACUGGAGACCUUUAUUCUAACUGAAGUAUCUCAAGAAUAGAAAAGCAAACGCCACAUGUUGUCACAGAAAAUCAGAGAUAAAUGAUGGGGAUACAUGGCCAGUAAAAGAUAUUAAGGUUAUUUGAAAACAAAAAGGGAGAAGAGAUGUGGGCGGAAGGGCAGUGAGGAAUAAUAACCUACCUAUCUGGUACGGGGAACACUGCUGUGGUGACAGGCACACUAAAUCCCAGUCUUCACCAUUUCACAAUUCACCAUGGAACACAAACACUCACACCCCUUUAAUAUCAUAAAAUUUAGAACAGUUCUCACCUUAAGACAUUCAGCAGGUUUACUUGCCCUAUUUUACAUAUAAAGGAGAAUUCCAAAUUCAUUUUCAGUUCCCACGGGUAAUGUAUAGAAUUUCCAAAUCUUAAUCUCUACUUAUUCAAAUUCUGAUGCUUGACAAACUUAUCAGUUGCCCAUGUCUACUUUAAGACCAAUCGCCUACUAACUGCUUCAGAAUCACUUCCGAAUCUCUUGUCAUGGUGAGCCUGACUCAAUAGGCCUGUGAUUAACACUAUAACCUGUAUUUGUUAAAGUCACCACAGAUGAUUUUAAUAACCAGAUAUGUUUGGUAUCUGAUAUUACUACUUAGGCUUUAAGACUGAGAAUCACAGAGGCAGUGCCAGGACAUGUAACUUCUCCUGACAGAGCAAUAUUUUCAAUCUGCCAGCAUUCUGGACCACAUAUGGUAGCUUUCUGUAGAAUCCAAAGGAACUCUAAUACUACCCAUUGUGCCUUCAAUGGUCAUUUGUUUCUUUCACUCACUUGUGCUCAUCCUGAAUUCAUAGCUCAGUUUUAUUAUUGACAUUAGACAUAAAUUGAUUAUUAAGGGAAGAUUAAUUUUCAUGGCUAUUCUGAAUAAAAUACAUGGCUAUUGUGACUUAUUAAAUAAAAUCUCUAAUCUUGCACACUUGUCUUACCAUUUAUCUUGAGUCAAAACUUACUGCAAAUGACUCCAAAAUGAAGAAGGGACACAUAUCUCUGAACUUUUGCUGCUAUAUUAUUUUGGUUCUACCAUACAACAGCCUAAAUGUUCCUCUACUCACAAAAUUCAUUAUUUCUUUCCACUAUUUCUGCCAGUGAAAGACUGGAAAAGCAACAGAAGCAUCAAAGUUUGUAGGGAUUAUUUUGCUUUACCAGUAUGCUUCUAGGAGCACCUUCCAAUAACUUACUCUUUGUAAGUCACUAGAGGGACAUAAAAC